CAGUAGCCACGGUAAUACGUAGGGUGCGAGCGUUAAUCGGAAUUACUGGGCGUAAAGCGUGCGUAGGCGGUUUGGCAAGUUUGGUGUGAAAUCUUCGGGCUCAACUCGAAGUCUGCAUCGAAAACUGCCGGGCUUGAGUAUGGGAGAGGUGAGUGGAAUUUCCGGUGUAGCGGUGAAAUGCGUAGAUAUCGGAAGAACACCAGUGGCGAAGGCGGCUCACUGGCUCAUACUGGACGCUGAGGCACGAAAGCGUGGGGAGCAAACAGGAUUAGAUACCCGCGUAGUCCCUGUCUCUUAUACA
rnacentral:rRNA from 1 species